AUAACUGAACGAUUACUGUGAACAUGUUUUGUCACAACUCAAGUCUGGUGUUUGCAAGAUACUGGCAGAUGUUGCCCCUUUUCCUUCCACUUAAGGAGGGGACAGAAGAGGCAGCAAGACACAAUGGAGGAAGGGGAGAUAUUGAAUGGAGCCCAAGCAAGUGAAUGCAGGAGACACUGCAGAGAGGGUGGUGUAAUAAGGAUUAUGUAUUGCAAUGAACUGCUGCUGCUAAGUUAACAAAUUUCACAUCACAUGCCGGUGGUGAUAAACCUGAUUCUGAUUCUGAAAGCAGUGCACAACUGCAAAGUCCAGCAGUUCGGUUUGCACAGUCCUGGUGGGUCAGAAAUGAGAAGAUGGAACUUUUUGGAAAUAGUAGAAAUAAGCGGUUCUAAGAAUGAUCUCAAAGAAAAUAAUUUUUUUUAAAUAAUCACAGACUAUUUGAUCCUACACUAUGAUAUUCAAGAGAAUACUUAAGACAAUAAAUAACAACUGUACUCAAGAAUAAGAACGUUCCUACAGAAGAGCCAAUGUGCAAAUGUUUCUAAUAAGGGUCAAGAUGAGACAACUUCAUUAAAUCCAGAAAUGGGUGAUAUUCUAGCAGUACUGGUUGGAUCUGUUAGUUCAAAGUAAAUAGCAUCAUUAUUACUGCUAAGAUCACAAAAAAUGUGAAAAACUGCAACAUGGCCAAGCUUAUAGAUACAUUAGAUCAGUAUGUGUGUUUCUUAAAAAGUAGAGCAGUGUCAUAAUUUGACAAAUGUCAUGUGCUAUUGUGUGGAGAGGCAGUGCUAAUAAGUCCUUUUAAUUCAAUAGGCAUUUAGUUUGAUCUUGUCUUUCACAUUUAAACAGUCUGUCCACAAGCAAUGGACUUCAUUUAAAGAUGCUCAUUGAUUACAUGUACCUGGGGAUAGACAAUAAACACCCUGCAAGCAAUGCUUGCAUCUUUGAAUUGGUUAUAAAAAGUCUGAGUGGUCUUUGCAGGUUAUGAGAGCAUGUGGGAGUUCUGCUUUCUAUGCAAGCUCUGUUCCACUGGUGAGAGCACACUGGAUGCUGGCAGCAGGUGUCUUAAAAGCAGUAUCACUUCAUUUCGCGAAACUUUCAAUAAGUCAAUUUCAUUAAGCUGGGCUCAAAAAUAUUUUAAAUGCCACUUUUGGAAGCAAUUAACUUUUAAAGAAGCAUAAUUACCAAGGAUUAUUAAAUGCUAUUUAAACUCUCAACAUAUUUUAUCCAUAGUGCAAUAUAGUUCACA